UCGGGUUGUAAAGCACUUUCAGCGAGGAGGAAGGCCAAUAACUUAAUACGUUGUUGGAUUGACGUUACUCGCAGAAGAAGCACCGGCUAACUCCGUGCCAGCAGCCGCGGUAAUACGGAGGGUGCAAGCGUUAAUCGGAAUUACUGGGCGUAAAGCGCACGCAGGCGGUUUGUUAAGUCAGAUGUGAAAUCCCCGCGCUUAACGUGGGAACUGCAUUUGAAACUGGCAAG
rnacentral:rRNA from 1 species